GGUUGGAUGGCCGAGCGGUCUAAGGCGCUAGAAUCAGGUGACCGGGUCUUGUCCCGUGAUCUUCACCCACGUGAUAUCCUCCUAUCUAGUACGAAAGUGCGUGGGUUCGAAUCCCACUCCAAUCA